UGGGUUGGCCAAAAAGUUCGUUUGGGUUUUUCUGUAAGCGGAAAGACCCGAACUUUAUGGCCAGCCCA
rnacentral:miRNA from 1 species